rnacentral:rRNA from 1 species
CCUACGGGAGGCAGCAGUGAGGAAUAUUGGUCAAUGGGCUUACGCCUGAACCAGCCAAGUCGCGUGAGGGAAUACUGCCCUAUGGGUUGUAAACCUCUUUUGCCAGGGAGCAACGCCGGCUUCGCGUAGCCGCACUGAGAGUACCUGCAGAAAAAGCAUCGGCUAACUCCGUGCCAGCAGCCGCGGUAAUACGGAGGAUGCGAGCGUUAUCCGGAUUUAUUGGGUUUAAAGGGUGCGUAGGCGGACUGCCAAGUCAGCGGUAAAAUGGCGGGGCUCAACCCCGGUCCGCCGUUGAAACUGGCGGUCUUGAGUGGGCGAGAAGUAGGCGGAAUGCGUGGUGUAGCGGUGAAAUGCAUAGAUAUCGCGCAGAACUCCGAUUGCGAAGGCAGCAUACCGGCGCCAAACUGACGCUGAGGCACGAAAGCGUGGGUAUCGAACAGGAUUAGAUACCCGUGUAGUC